rnacentral:rRNA from 1 species
AUUAACCAUUAUGGGGGCUAAAUGUGAGCUGGCGGCAUGCCUUACACAUGCAAGUCGAACGGCAGCAUGAUCUAGCUUGCUAGAUUGAUGGCGAGUGGCGAACGGGUGAGUAAUACAUCGGAACGUGCCCUGUAGUGGGGGAUAACUAGUCGAAAGAUUAGCUAAUACCGCAUACGACCUGAGGGUGAAAGUGGGGGACCGCAAGGCCUCAUGCUAUAGGAGCGGCCGAUGUCUGAUUAGCUAGUUGGUGGGGUAAAGGCCCACCAAGGCGACGAUCAGUAGCUGGUCUGAGAGGACGAUCAGCCACACUGGGACUGAGACACGGCCCAGACUCCUACGGGAGGCAGCAGUGGGGAAUUUUGGACAAUGGGCGAAAGCCUGAUCCAGCAAUGCCGCGUGUGUGAAGAAGGCCUUCGGGUUGUAAAGCACUUUUGUCCGGAAAGAAAUGGCUCUGGUUAAUACCUGGGGUCGAUGACGGUACCGGAAGAAUAAGGACCGGCUAACUACGUGCCAGCAGCCGCGGUAAUACGUAGGGUCCAAGCGUUAAUCGGAAUUACUGGGCGUAAAGCGUGCGCAGGCGGUUGUGCAAGACCGAUGCGAAAUCCCCGAGCUUAACUUGGGAAUUGCAUUGGUGACUGCACGGCUAGAGUGUGUCAGAGGGGGGUAGAAUUCCACGUGUAGCAGUGAAAUGCGUAGAGAUGUGGAGGAAUACCGAUGGCGAAGGCAGCCCCCUGGGAUAACACUGACGCUCAUGCACGAAGCGUGGGGAGCAAACAGGAUUAGAUACCCUGGUAGUCCACGCCCUAACGAUGUCAACUAGUUGUUGGGG